UGAGGACCGUAUUCAUGGAAGAGGAUUGAACAGACUACUGAGUUCUUAAGAGAAAAAUGGCACUUAAGAAAUUGAUGGUGAUAUCAAAGGAAGGUUACUUAUUACUCUUGGACUUUGAUGAUGAGGACGAUGACAUAAAAGUUUCAGAGGGGGCUCUUGCGGAAGUAAAGAGCCCAGGAUUUGAUAAAAAUGAGAAUAUAUCGCCUCAAGCAGAAGCAGAUGAAUAUAUGGGAGAUGAAGUAGACAGUAUGUUGGAUAAAUCUGGAGUAAAGAACCCAGCAAUUGGUAAAGAUGAGAAUAUAUCGCCUCAAGUAAAAGGAGAUGAAGACAUGGGAGAUGAAAUUGACAGUAUGUUGGUUACAUCUGGAGGGGUUUGCCUCACAUCCUCUAUAUUGCAGAAAACAAGACUAGGCUCUACCUCUGUAGAUCAAGCACGACUGAAAUCCGUGCUCUCAAAAGAUGCUGGGGAGAAAGAGUGCCAUUCUUCACAAAUGCUGAUGUGUGCAGCUGAACAGAGCGUUGAGGAAACGUCAGUGAUUUUAUAACUACUUAUCAUGUUGGGAGAUUGUUGUGAUGAUUGCCUGGACUCUCAGAUGUUACACAGGCUGCAUCAUUGGACUGAAAGUGAAUGGCCCAUGUGUUGCCACUGAUGUGAGCCAUUUGCCUGUUGUGCUUCA
rnacentral:precursor_RNA from 1 species